AUACGGAGGGUGCAAGCGUUAAUCGGAAUCACUGGGCGUAAAGGACGCGUAGGCGGGUUGGCAAGUCAGAUGUGAAAUCCUACAGCUUAACUGUAGAACUGCAUUUGAAACUGCUAACCUAGAGUAUGGGAGGGGGAGAUGGAAUUAGUGGUGUAGGGGUAAAAUCCGUAGAUAUCACUAGGAAUACCGAAAGCGAAGGCGAUCUCCUGGAACAUAACUGACGCUAAGGCGUGAAAGCGUGGGGAGCAAACAGGAUUAGAUACCCUAGUAGUCC
rnacentral:rRNA from 1 species